rnacentral:misc_RNA from 1 species
CGCACAUUGCGCCCUUUGGUAUUCCGAAGGGCAUGCCUGUUCGAGCGUCAUUAUCACCCCUCAAGCCCCCGGGUUUGGUGUUGGACGGCGGUGGAGCGAUCCACCCCUCCGAAAGACAAUGACGGCGGCCUGUGGGACCCCGGUACACUGAGCUUUCCAAGCACGUAUCGAUCGGCCCCAGGUUCCGGUCUCCCCCCUCUCGUAGGGGACAAUUUCAAGGUUGACCUCGGAUCAGGUAGGAAUACCCGCUGAACUUAA